rnacentral:rRNA from 1 species
AUUGAACGCUGGCGGCAGGCCUAACACAUGCAAGUCGAACGGUAACAGGAAGCAGCUUGCUGCUUUGCUGACGAGUGGCGGACGGGUGAGUAAUGUCUGGGAAACUGCCUGAUGGAGGGGGAUAACUACUGGAAAUGGUAGCUAAUACCGCAUAACGUCGCAAGACCAAAGAGGGGGACCUUCGGGCCUCUUGCCAUCGGAUGUGCCCAGAUGGGAUUAGCUAGUAGGUGGGGUAACGGCUCACCUAGGCGACGAUCCCUAGCUGGUCUGAGAGGAUGACCAGCCACACUGGAACUGAGACACGGUCCAGACUCCUACGGGAGGCAGCAGUGGGGAAUAUUGCACGAUGGGCGCAAGCCUGAUGCAGCCAUGCCGCGUGUAUGAAGAAGGCCUUCGGGUUGUAAAGUACUUUCAGCGGGGAGGAAGGGAGUAAAGUUAAUACCUUUGCUCAUUGACGUUACCCGCAGAAGAAGCACCGGCUAACUCCGUG